GAUGAACGCUGGCGGCGUGCCUAAUACAUGCAAGUCGAGCGAACAGAUGAGGAGCUUGCUCCUCUGACGUUAGCGGCGGACGGGUGAGUAACACGUGGAUAACCUACCUAUAAGACUGGGAUAACUUCGGGAAACCGGAGCUAAUACCGGAUAAUAUAUUGAACCGCAUGGUUCAAUAGUGAAAGACGGUUUUGCUGUCACUUAUAGAUGGAUCCGCGCCGCAUUAGCUAGUUGGUAAGGUAACGGCUUACCAAGGCAACGAUGCGUAGCCGACCUGAGAGGGUGAUCGGCCACACUGGAACUGAGACACGGUCCAGACCCCUACGGGAGGCAGCAGUAGGGAAAUCUUCCGCAAUGGGCGAAAGCCUGACGGAGCAACGCCGCGUGAGUGAUGAAGGUCUUCGGAUCGUAAAACUCUGUUAUUAGGGAAGAACAAAUGUGUAAGUAACUAUGCACGUCUUGACGGUACCUAAUCAGAAAGCCACGGCUAACUACGUG
rnacentral:rRNA from 1 species